CCUACGGGAGGCAGCAGUAGGGAAUCUUCCACAAUGGACGAAAGUCUGAUGGAGCAACGCCGCGUGAGUGAAGAAGGGUUUCGGAUCGUAAAGCUCUGUUGGUAGAGAAGAAAGAGAGAGGGAGUAACUGGCCUUUAUUUGACGGGAAUUACUUAGAAAGUCACGGCUAACUACGGGCCAGCAGCCGCGGUAAUACGUAGGUGGCAAGCGGUGUUCGGAUUUAUUGGGCGUAAAGCGAUUGCAGGCGGUUCAAUAAGUCUGAUGUGAAAGGCUUCGGCUCAACCGGAGAAUUGCAUCAGAAACUGUUGAACUUGAGUGCAGGAGAGGAGAGUGGAACUCCAUGUGUAGCGGUGGAAUGCGUAGAUAUAUGGAAGAACACCAGUGGCGAAGGCGGCUCUCUGGUCUGCAACUGACGCUGAGGCUCGAAAGCGUGGGUAGCGAACAGGAUUAGAUACCCUGGUAGUC
rnacentral:rRNA from 1 species